UACGGAGGGGGCUAGCGUUGUUCGGAAUUACUGGGCGUAAAGCGUACGUAGGCGGCUUUGUAAGUUAGAGGUGAAAGCCCGGGGCUCAACUCCGGAAUUGCCUUUAAGACUGCAUCGCUUGAAUCAUGGAGAGGUGAGUGGAAUUCCGAGUGUAGAGGUGAAAUUCGUAGAUAUUCGGAAGAACACCAGUGGCGAAGGCGGCUAUCUGGACCGACAUUGACGCUGAGGCGCGAAAGCGUGGGGAGCAAACAGG
rnacentral:rRNA from 1 species